CGCCCAAGGAUGAGCCCGCGUAGGAUUAGCUAGUUGGUGGGGUAAAGGCUCACCAAGGCGACGAUCCUUAGCUGGUCUGAGAGGAUGAUCAGCCACACUGGGACUGAGACACGGCCCAGACUCCUACGGGAGGCAGCAGUAGGGAAUAUUGGACAAUGGGCGAAAGCCUGAUCCAGCAAUGCCGCGUCGUGAGUGAUGAAGGCCUUAGGGUUGUAAAGCUCUUUUACCCGGGAUGAUAAUGACAGUACCGGGAGAAUAAGCUCCGGCUAACUCCGUGCCAGCAGCCGCGGUAAUACGGAGGGAGCUAGCGUUGUUCGGAAUUACUGGGCGUAAAGCGCACGUAGGCGGCUAUUCAAGUCAGAGGUGAAAGCCCGGGGCUCAACCCCGGAACUGCCUUUGAAACUAGAUAGCUUGAAUCCAGGAGAGGUGAG
rnacentral:rRNA from 1 species